CGGCGUGCUUAGCGUUGCGGAAGUGGGCAGGAUUUCCGGGGUAUACGCCGCGAGAAAAGGCGUAUUUGCGCAAGGAGACGAGGUCUAACGCCCGAAAUUCGUUCUAGUACUUCCGCCACCUCGGGCGAUCUUCUGCCCUGAUUUGUCUGUACGGUUUUCCUAGACGGCUUACCGUGGUAGACCCUUCGAGGCGAGGAUUUUUAGCAUGGAAAGAAGACCGUAUGUGCUGCCCAGACAGAAGCACUUCUGAAGGCUUUUCGUGGACGCGAAAUUUCGAGUGCUUUUGUCUUCUUUGAAACCGCGGGUACAACCUGCUUCCCUGCCCCUCUUGUGUAGUCUCGAGCCUGGGGAGUGGACUGUUGACUAAUUCCAUGGUCCUUGGGCUGUACUGUUUCUGAUACCUUAAAUGUUGACGUUUCCCCCAGGAUUCUAACUUUUGCCCUCCUUCUCUGAGCACCUUGCCUUUUGAAUUCAAGCGAGUGCCAUGAUUUUUUAAAUGUUUUAUUUCCUUCGUAAAUGCGUUCAGACUUCUGAAUUUUCAUCUGGGUUAACUGUAAACAGCUCCCUAGACCAGAAACCUUGGAAUUACCCAUAAAACCCCUUUAUCACUGGGUUACUUUUUAGAAUAAAAUAAGUACCUCUUUAAUUCUGUCCCUUUUCAUCAGUAUUCUUAUCAGGCCCUCAUAGUUUUCUGGGGAACAAAUAUAAGAUGAGGUUAGAAAGGACGCUAGGAGAUCAAACCCAGAUGCUUAUGUGUGCUAAGCAAGCACUGCACUCUACCAUCCCCGUAACAGGCUUUUGAGAGGGGUAAUACAAGUUUUAAAAUGAACAUUUUCAGCAGGAUUUAGUGAUGCACACGUGUAUCACCAUUCAGGAAACUGAUGCAGGAAGAUUGCGGCAAGUUCAAGGCCAGUCUGGAAUACCCAGACCCUGUCUUAAAAUGCUGAAGGGGAAAAAAAAAAAAUGUGUUGCCUGUAGAUAGCCUGGGACAGUCCAAAGGUUGGGCUCUGGUAUCUGGGUAACAGUGAAAGAGAAUUGAUCUUUCAUUGCAUCAUCCUGGUUUUCCUUUUAUUCAUUAAGCCACUACUAUGGUGGUAGGCAUUAUGCUAUAUCUGGGUAUAUGUUAGUAAAACAGUUACUUUUGUAAAAAUCUGAAUUCUUUGCCUCCCAAAAUUGAAGAAUAAAUUUGACAACAAAAGGAGGAAUGUAGAGUAUUUAUUAGAAAUAAUAAAAGAAAGCUCUGGGUGGAAAGAAGUCCUACAGGCUUUCUUUGUCAUAACAUUAUGUCAAUACAUUAUGUGUAUGUUAGUAAAACAGUUACUUUUGUAAAAAUCUGAAUUCUUUGCCUCCCAAAAUUGAAGAAUAAAUUUGACAACAAAAGGAGGAAUGUAGAGUAUUUAUUAGAAAUAAUAAAAGAAAGCUCUGGGUGGAAAGAAGUCCUACAGGCUUUCUUUGUCAUAACAUUAUGUCAAUGGGCGGUGGUUGUUUCAAAGGUAAUGAAUUCAGAGUUUAAAAAUUGGUUAUCAAAGGCAACUUAGUAUACUCUGGUAAGUUUCUUUCUGGGUACAAAAAGUCUGUCCUCUAUUCUAACCUUUUAUCCUCCUUGUGUUUUCUUUUUACGUUUCUAAGCCUAGCUGGCUGCUAGAUUAACCAGCUGCUUGAAUCAGUUCUGUUAUCUGACCCUAUGGUUAGGAUGUUCUAACUGUCUACUAGUAAUAACUAAACUACUACAUUAGGCAGACUAACAUUUCUUUCUUCACGGGGCUUGUUUUCUGGUGAGGGGAAGGCAGUCAAGAAAAAAGUGGAAGUAAAAUAACAUUGUGUUAAGGUGCCUCAAUACAUGGGAAGUGCCGUCAGAGUGCAUAUUGGAGAGAGAAAUGUCACUUCUUACUUUAUGUAGAGUAGUUAUGUGAGGAGUGACCAGAGGUAGGGUCGAAUCAGAAGAAGGACAAGGAAACUUGAUUUUGUUUGUUUCCUUAAAUACCUUAAACUUAACAAAAGAAUUUUGAGAGCUCGGUUCUUCAUAUAGAUAUGUAUAAUAAAUACUAAAGGAGUAUUUACUGCAAUAGCUUGUUAGCCCUAAAUUACUUACCUUGUCUCAUUCUCUUGUAAGACAGAGGACACCAAGAUAAAGAGUACUGGAAGAGAUUUUAAGGAUUUAUAAGGCAUAGCUUUCAAAGCAACAAUUUCUAGACCCCUGAAUCACAGUGCUAACAAGUCUCCAGCCAUUGUUCUAAUCAUCUUGGGUUCUAGGAAAAGCAGAGGCUUACAGAUCACCCAUGAUACCACCUCUCCCAAAGAGGCGCAGAUGCCUCAUAUGGAAAGCAGGGUAUCCUCCUACUAAGCAAGAACAACCAUCUCAUGGGGACUAAUUGUCUUUCAAGCUGUAAGGAUCCCUCCAGAGCUACAAAGCAGGAACUGAGAAUAAGUGACCAAACCCUGGCCCACCUUACCAAAUUCAUAAUGGCUGGUCUCUGUCUUUUGUGAGGUACCAGUCUAAAUUUCAUUAGUAGUCCCUUCCAAUUGCACAAGCCAGAAUUCUGUGUUUACCUAACUCUGCUUCAUAAACCUGGCUGUACCUCUAACAAGUCCUGAAAUUGUUUUCUGUGACAGGAGUUCACAAACCUACUCCAUGGAGUGACAGAACCUUUAACCUGAAAAUCAGGAUGAUUUUUAUCAUCCUGAUGAUGAGGAAUGAAGGUGAGGCUGGAGGGACCAUUCCAGGCAGAGGGAAUGUGUGCUAAGGCCCUGAUUCAGGUCUGAUAGUACCAGGCGUCAAGAGUUCUGUAUUCUAUGAACUGAAUGACAAAGCCAUGAGAGCAGUAGUGAGGAAAUGAAGUGAGCAUGCAGUUACCUGUUAAGAUAUCAGGUGCAGUGGAAAAGUAAUCACCAUAUUAGGCAGGGAAACAAACUGAUAUUGUACUUUUUUUUUUCUUUUUGUGGUGUUAGAGAUUGAAUUAAGGGCUUCACACUUGGUAGUCAACUGCUCUGCCACUGAACUACAUCCCCAGCCUCUAAUAAACAUUUUUAAAAGGUCAUUCUGCCUACUGAGAAAUGACUUCAAGAAGAACAGAAGUGCAAGUGAGCAUUUAAAUUAAGAGGCUGUUGCAGGCUGGGAAUUUAGCUCAGUGGCACUGUGCUUACAUGUAAGUGCAAGAUCCCGAGUUUGAUCCCUGGUACCAAAACAACAACAAAGGCUCUUGCAAAUGAGGAAAAGAGGUGGUAGUAGAUUGGACCAAUGUGGUUGCAGAGGGAGUAGUGCAAUUUUAGACAUUUAGGUGGUAAAAAUGCUACAGUUUGCUGAUGAAUGGUUAUGAGAGUUAGGAACAUAGGAAUUGAACUAUCCACGAGUGACUUGGGCUUGAGUUUCUAGUUUGAAUGUCUGGCUUCAGUAUUCAGAUAGAUGGUGAGGCAAGGGCUAUAUCUGAGAUGAAAAUGACCUAAAUGGAAAAAAAAAAAAAAAA